CAUGGAGGACACAACGGAGGAGGGGGCCAC
rnacentral:sRNA from 1 species